CGGGUCCAGCGGGUAAACCAGGGGCUCCAACGGGUCAACCGGUCACCACAUAUAAAAACUUCUCCUUCAUUCUGAAAAUCAAACCCUAGCCGUCAUUCUCACUUCUCCUUCUCUCUUCCUCUCUUCUUCUUCUUCUCUUCUUCUUCCUCUUCCUCUUCCUCUCGUCUUCUCUCUUUCUCUCCUCCUCUCUAUUCCUGCAACCACAACUGCAACCCCAAACCACCACUCCUAACCACCAUCGCAACCCACCCAGAACCCACCAAGAACCACGAAAAUCCCCAACCCAGCCCCAUCCCAACGGCCACCAAAGCAACGAUUUUAGAAGCACCUAGAUCAGAGAUUUUUACAACGAUUUGAUACAUGCAAGGCUCUGAGCUAUCCAAGCAAGAAUUUUUUCACCAAAAUCCGAGUCUAGAAGCACCUGGAUCGAACAUUUUAGGCUGAGAUCAUCUCCCUGUCAACCAAAUCGGACAUGCAAGCCUCUGAAGAUGGAUUUAUUUUUAUGUAAAUAUCAAUACGCCGUGUAAAAGUUUCCAUUUUUAUUGUAAAGUUUGAUUUUUUAUGUAAAGUUUGAAUUUUUAUUAAUAAAAAUUUGAUUUUGUUUCUGUUA